UGGGGAAUAUUGCGCAAUGGGCGGAAGCCUGACGCAGCGACGCCGCGUGGGGGAUGACGGCCUUCGGGUUGUAAACCUCUUUCGACCGGGACGAAGCGUGAGUGACGGUACCGGUAGAAGAAGCACCGGCCAACUACGUGCCAGCAGCCGCGGUAAUACGUAGGGUGCGAGCGUUGUCCGGAAUUAUUGGGCGUAAAGAGCUCGUAGGCGGUGUGUCGCGUCGGUCGUGAAAACUUGGGGCUUAACCCUGAGCUUGCGGUCGAUACGGGCAUCACUGGAGUUCGGCAGGGGAGACUGGAAUUCCUGGUGUAGCGGUGAAAUGCGCAGAUAUCAGGAGGAACACCGGUGGCGAAGGCGGGUCUCUGGGCCGAUACUGACGCUGAGGAGCGAAAGCGUGGGGAGCGAACA
rnacentral:rRNA from 1 species